CAGUAGCCGCGGUAAAACGUAGGUCCCGAGCGUUGUCCGGAUUUAUUGGGCGUAAAGCGAGCGCAGGCGGUUUGAUAAGUCUGAAGUUAAAGGCUGUGGCUCAACCAUAGUUCGCUUUGGAAACUGUCAAACUUGAGUGCAGAAGGGGAGAGUGGAAUUCCAUGUGUAGCGGUGAAAUGCGUAGAUAUAUGGAGGAACACCGGUGGCGAAAGCGGCUCUCUGGUCUGUAACUGACGCUGAGGCUCGAAAGCGUGGGGAGCGAACAGGAUUAGAGACCCGCGUAGUCCCUGUCUCUUAUACA
rnacentral:rRNA from 1 species